AGUGAACGCUGGCGGUAGGCCUAACACAUGCAAGUCGAACGGCAGCACAGUAAGAGCUUGCUCUUACGGGUGGCGAGUGGCGGACGGGUGAGGAAUACAUCGGAAUCUACUUUUUCGUGGGGGAUAACGUAGGGAAACUUACGCUAAUACCGCAUACGACCUACGGGUGAAAGCAGUGGAUCUUCGGACCUUGCGCGAUUGAAUGAGCCGAUUUCGGAUUAGCUAGUUGGCGGGGUAAAGGCCCACCAAGGCGACGAUCCGUAGCUGGUCUGAGAGGAUGAUCAGCCACACUGGAACUGAGACACGGUCCAGACUCCUACGGGAGGCAGCAGUGGGGAAUAUUGGACAAUGGGCGCAAGCCUGAUCCAGCCAUACCGCGUGGGUGAAGAAGGCCUUCGGGUUGUAAAGCCCUUUUGUUGGGAAAGAAAAGCAGCAGGUUAAUACCCCGCUGUUCUGACGGUACCCAAAGAAUAAGCACCGGCUAACUUCGUG
rnacentral:rRNA from 1 species